rnacentral:rRNA from 1 species
GACGAACCGAGCGAACGUUGUUCGGAAUCACUGGGCUUAAAGGGCGCGUAGGCGGGUUCUCAAGUCCGGGGUGAAAUCCCACAGCUCAACUGUGGAACUGCCUCGGAUACUGGGGGCCUCGAGGGUGGUAGGGGUAUGCGGAACUAUCGGUGGAGCGGUGAAAUGCGUUGAUAUCGAUAGGAACUCCGGUGGCGAAGGCGGCAUACUGGACCACAUCUGACGCUGAGGCGCGAAAGCCAGGGGAGCAAACGGG